rnacentral:miRNA from 1 species
GGAGGGGGCCGUUACACUGUCAGAGAUGUAGUCUGAGGGUCUCACAGUGAACCGGUCUCUUUUCC